CAAACCAAGAGUUUGAUCCUGGCUCAGAACGAACGCUGGCGGCGUGCUUAACACAUGCAAGUUGUACGAGAAAGCCCCUUUCGGGGGGUGAGUAAAGUGGCGCACGGGUGAGUAACACGUAGACAACCUGCCUUUCAGCCUGGGAUAACCUUUCGAAAGAAGGACUAAUACCGGAUAACAUCAUAGUCCGCAUGGACAUUGAUUAAAAGGGCAACCACUGAGAGAGGGGUCUGCGGGGCAUUAGCUGGUUGGUGAGGUAACGGCUCACCAAGGCGAUGAUGCCUAGCGGGUCUGAGAGGAUGAUCCGCCACACUGGAACUGAGACACGGUCCAGACUCCUACGGGAGGCAGCAGUGGGGAAUUUUGCACAAUGGGCGCAAGCCUGAUGCAGCAACGCCGCGUGAGCGAAGAAGGCCCUUGGGUCGUAAAGCUCUUUUCUCAGGGAAGAUGAUGACGGUACCUGAGGAAUAAGCACCGGCUAACUCCGUGCCAGCAGCCGCGGUAAUACGGAGGGUGCAAGCGUUGUUCGGAUUUACUGGGCGUAAAGGGCGUGUAGGCGGAUUUGCAAGCUGGGGGUGAAAGCCCCGGGCUCAACCCGGGAUGGUCUCCCAGAACUGCAAGUCUAGAGAGAGUCAGAGGCAGGCGGAAUUCCAGGUGUAGAGGUGAAAUUCGUAGAUAUCUGGAGGAACACCGGUGGCGAAGGCGGCCUGCUGGGGCUUUUCUGACGCUGAGGCGCGAAGGCGUGGGUAGCAAACAGGAUUAGAUACCCUGGUAGUCCACGCGGUAAACGAUGAGCACUAGAUGUGUGAGGUACGACCCCUCGCGUGUCACAGCUAACGCAGUAAGUGCUCCGCCUGGGGACUACGGUCGCAAGACUAAAACUCAAAGGAAUUGACGGGGGCCCGCACAAGCGGUGGAGUAUGUGGUUUAAUUCGAUGCAACGCGCAGAACCUUACCUGGGCUUGACAUCCCGAGGAGGUCCUAGAGAUAGGACUGUGCCGGCAACGGAACUCGGUGACAGGUGCUGCAUGGCUGUCGUCAGCUCGUGUCGUGAGAUGUUGGGUUAAGUCCCGCAACGAGCGCAACCCCUAUUCUUAGUUGCCAUCAGGUUAUGCUGGGCACUCUAGGGAGACUGCCGGUGACAAGCCGGAGGAAGGUGGGGAUGACGUCAAGUCCUCAUGGCCUUUAUGUCCAGGGCUACACACGUACUACAAUGGCACCUACAGUGAGCAGCCAACUUGCGAAAGUGAGCUAAUCUCAAAAAGGGUGUCUCAGUUCGGAUUGCAGUCUGCAACUCGACUGCAUGAAGUCGGAAUCGCUAGUAAUCGCACAACAGCAUGGUGCGGUGAAUACGUUCCCGGGCCUUGUACACACCGCCCGUCACACCAUGGAAGUUGGCAUUGGCAGAAAACGUUGGGCUAACCGCAAGGAGGCAGGCGUUUAAGCUGGUGUUGAUGACUGGGGUGAAGUCGUAACAAGGUAGCCGUAGGAGAACCUGCGGCUGGAUCACCUCCUUU
rnacentral:rRNA from 1 species